rnacentral:rRNA from 1 species
AUACGGAGGGGGCUAGCGUUGUUCGGAAUUACUGGGCGUAAAGCGCACGUAGGCGGCUUUGUAAGUCAGAGGUGAAAGCCUGGAGCUCAACUCCAGAACUGCCUUUGAGACUGCAUCGCUUGAAUCCAGGAGAGGUCAGUGGAAUUCCGAGUGUAGAGGUGAAAUUCGUAGAUAUUCGGAAGAACACCAGUGGCGAAGGCGGCUGACUGGACUGGUAUUGACGCUGAGGUGCGAAAGCGUGGGGAGCAAACAGGAUUAGAAACCCUAGUAGUCC